rnacentral:rRNA from 1 species
UCCUGACUGACCGAUAGUGAACCAGUACCGUGAGGGAAAGGCGAAAAGAACCCCGGCGAGGGGAGUGAAAAAGAACCUGAAACCGUGUACGUACAAGCAGUGGGAGCACGCUUAGGCGUGUGACUGCGUACCUUUUGUAUAAUGGGUCAGCGACUUAUAUUCUGUAGCAAGGUUAACCGAAUAGGGGAGCCGAAGGGAAACCGAGUCUUAACUGGGCGUUAAGUUGCAGGGUAUAGACCCGAAACCCGGUGAUCUAGCCAUGGGCAGGUUGAAGGUUGGGUAACACUAACUGGAGGACCGAACCGACUAAUGUUGAAAAAUUAGCGGAUGACUUGUGGCUGGGGGUGAAAGGCCAAUCAAACCGGGAGAUAGCUGGUUCUCCCCGAAAGCUAUUUAGGUAGCGCCUCGUGAAUUCAUCUCCGGGGGUAGAGCACUGUUUCGGCAAGGGGGUCAUCCCGACUUACCAACCCGAUGCAAACUGCGAAUACCGGAGAAUGUUAUCACGGGAGACACACGGCGGGUGCUAACGUCCGUCGUGAAGAGGGAAACAACCCAGACCGCCAGCUAAGGUCCCAAAGUCAUGGUUAAGUGGGAAACGAUGUGGGAAGGCCCAGACAGCCAGGAUGUUGGCUUAGAAGCAGCCAUCAUUUAAAGAAAGCGUAAUAGCUCACUGGUCGAGUCGGCCUGCGCGGAAGAUGUAACGGGGCUAAACCAUGCACCGAAGCUGCGGCAGCGACGCUUAUGCGUUGUUGGGUAGGGGAGCGUUCUGUAAGCCUGCGAAGGUGUGCUGUGAGGCAUGCUGGAGGUAUCAGAAGUGCGAAUGCUGACAUAAGUAACGAUAAAGCGGGUGAAAAGCCCGCUCGCCGGAAGACCAAGGGUUCCUGUCCAACGUUAAUCGGGGCAGGGUGAGUCGACCCCUAAGGCGAGGCCGAAAGGCGUAGUCGAUGGGAAACAGGUUAAUAUUCCUGUACUUGGUGUUACUGCGAAGGGGGGACGGAGAAGGCUAUGUUGGCCGGGCGACGGUUGUCCCGGUUUAAGCGUGUAGGCUGGUUUUCCAGGCAAAUCCGGAAAAUCAAGGCUGAGGCGUGAUGACGAGGCACUACGGUGCUGAAGCAACAAAUGCCCUGCUUCCAGGAAAAGCCUCUAAGCAUCAGGUAACAUCAAAUCGUACCCCAAACCGACACAGGUGGUCAGGUAGAGAAUACCAAGGCGCUUGAGAGAACUCGGGUGAAGGAACUAGGCAAAAUGGUGCCGUAACUUCGGGAGAAGGCACGCUGAUAUGUAGGUGAAGUCCCUUGCGGAUGGAGCUGAAAUCAGUCGAAGAUACCAGCUGGCUGCAACUGUUUAUUAAAAACACAGCACUGUGCAAACACGAAAGUGGACGUAUACGGUGUGACGCCUGCCCGGUGCCGGAAGGUUAAUUGAUGGGGUCAGCGCAAGCGAAGCUCUUGAUCGAAGCCCCGGUAAACGGCGGCCGUAACUAUAACGGUCCUAAGGUAGCGAAAUUCCUUGUCGGGUAAGUUCCGACCUGCACGAAUGGCGUAAUGAUGGCCAGGCUGUCUCCACCCGAGACUCAGUGAAAUUGAACUCGCUGUGAAGAUGCAGUGUACCCGCGGCAAGACGGAAAGACCCCGUGAACCUUUACUAUAGCUUGACACUGAACAUUGAGCCUUGAUGUGUAGGAUAGGUGGGAGGCUUUGAAGUGUGGACGCCAGUCUGCAUGGAGCCGGCCUUGAAAUACCACCCUUUAAUGUUUGAUGUUCUAACGUGGACCCGUGAUCCGGGUUGCGGACAGUGUCUGGUGGGUAGUUUGACUGGGGCGGUCUCCUCCUAAAGAGUAACGGAGGAGCACGAAGGUUGGCUAAUCCUGGUCGGACAUCAGGAGGUUAGUGCAAUGGCAUAAGCCAGCUUGACUGCGAGCGUGACGGCGCGAGCAGGUGCGAAAGCAGGUCAUAGUGAUCCGGUGGUUCUGAAUGGAAGGGCCAUCGCUCAACGGAUAAAAGGUACUCCGGGGAUAACAGGCUGAUACCGCCCAAGAGUUCAUAUCGACGGCGGUGUUUGGCACCUCGAUGUCGGCUCAUCACAUCCUGGGGCUGAAGUAGGUCCCAAGGGUAUGGCUGUUCGCCAUUUAAAGUGGUACGCGAGCUGGGUUUAGAACGUCGUGAGACAGUUCGGUCCCUAUCUGCCGUGGGCGCUGGAGAACUGAGGGGGGCUGCUCCUAGUACG